rnacentral:rRNA from 1 species
GACGAACGCUGGCGGCGUGCUUAACACAUGCAAGUGGAGCGACGAACCGGGGGCUUGCCCCGGGGCAGAGCCGCGAACGGGUGAGUAACACGUGGGUAACCCACCCGAUGACCGGGACAAACCCGAGGAAACUACGGGCUAAUACCGGAUGUGCUCCUUGACCUCGAGGUCAAGGCGUAAAAGAUAGCUUCGGCCUUCGC